UACGUAGGGUGCAAGCGUUGUCCGGAAUUAUUGGGCGUAAAGAGCUCGUAGGCGGUUUGUCACGUCGGGUGUGAAAGCCCACAGCUUAACUGUGGGUCUGCAUUCGAUACGGGCAGACUAGAGGCAGGUAGGGGAGAACGGAAUUCCCGGUGUAGCGGUGAAAUGCGCAGAUAUCGGGAGGAACACCGGUGGCGAAGGCGGUUCUCUGGGCCUGUACUGACGCUGAGGAGCGAAAGCGUGGGGAGCGAACAGG
rnacentral:rRNA from 1 species